UAGCCUUUGAAUCUUUUCUGUAAAAUUUCUAUAUUCUGUGAUUCUGUAGUGGUGGUUUACGAAGUGGUUUCCUGCCACUGACAUAAUUUUCUUAGGCUGCCCAUUUCAAAGGUUUCCAAAAUAGAAAUCCUCAUUCAAUAUUAAAGUUCAGCUUAUAAAUUCUGUGUACAAUAGGGACCUACUUGUAAACAUGGAUGAAGAAGAUGUUAACAAUUGUUCUCACUUCAUUGUAUGUGAACCGAUAAAAACAAUUCCUUCUGAACCCAUAUCAGUAUGUAAAUGUCUAUUACCUGCUGAAGCGUCCCAAGAAGAAAUAAUAUCGGAACAUAAAAAGCUGAUUUUAUCAACAAAUGCUCGAGUAAAAGAUUAUUUGUGUGACCAUCGCAUUCCUGAGUUUAUUAAUUAUUUAAUGACAAAAAUAAUGGUUGACAGUCCUUCGUGCCCUGCCACGUAUACUGCACAGCUUAUAGAAAAAUGUAUGAUCUUUCGGGCAGGCCAUGGUGUUGCUCCGGUAAUAUAUGAAGACAGGCAUUUGGAAGCAGUUAUCAAAAGCUUUGAUCCCAAUAAUCGAGGAUGGCUCACCAGUGGACAAAUGCGCAGGGCUUUUAGGACACUGGGUCUUCCUCCAAUGGAAACUUCAGAUGAAAAAAUUCCAAGUGAUGUAGUUCUGAAUAAUUUAAGAUCUACUCAAGAGCACGAACUCUAUCAAUUAUUGGUCGCAGGAGUAAAGAAGGACGAUUUAAGUCCAUAAAAACACAUACAUAAUGGUACAUAAAAAAACUUUAGUUUACCGUAGAUUUAAUUGGAUUAGUUGAUAUGUUUAUGGAAUAAUUUAACUUAAGUUUGUUAUAUUUACUAAGUAAUAAACAUUAAAAUAUGUUCUUACAUUA